CCCCUAGGAGNAAAAAAAAAAAAAAAAGAGGACCGGCUUUUUUAGAGCAAGACAAUCCCAGAGAGAUGAAGUGACUGACCCAAGGUUACACAGAGUGGAAUCUGUAUCUUCUGAUUUCUCUACUGGCCUGCACUCCAUGUUCUGAGGAGGAAUCCUUGAAGCUACUGAGAUAAUGGAACAAUGGAGUAGAUAGUCCAUUAUAACUCAUCUGGGAUUCUUCUCAUCUUCAAGUGACCACAGAAAAAAGGUUGUCCUGCCCCAUUCUGUCCCUUUUGCUGUACCCAUGGUGACUGCAUCAGCCUGAGAAGACUGUGAUGUUACUUCUCUGCUUGAGAUGGUAGGGGACUGGAGAUGGCUCAGCGGUUAAGAGCUUUGGCUGUGGCUUGGGAGAAAACAAGGCUUGAAGAGGAGCAGUUGAGGCCGAGUCAGUGACUCCAGAGUGGAAACAGUCUGGUAACACCACGCUUCCGAAGGUGAUUGUGGAGCUAGAUUGCUUAACCUUGGGUAAGUCAUUUAUCUUCCUGUGUCCCUCAGUUCUCCAUGGGCUGCAGAAGUGUUAAGAGUGCCUGCUUGUCUUCGAGAGGACCGGAGUUCAAUUCCCAGCAUCCAUACCUGGAAGCUACAGGGAAUUCAACACUCUCUUCCUGACUUCCUCAACCAGCCCCACACAUAUGGCUUAUAAACACACAGGGAAAAAAGUAAAGGAAAUCUUAAAAACA
rnacentral:lncRNA from 1 species